rnacentral:rRNA from 1 species
AGAAUCAACGCUGGCGGCGUGCCUAACACAUGCAAGUCGAACGCGAAAGCCCCGCAAGGGGUGAGUAGAGUGGCAAACGGGUGAGUAACACGUGGGUGACCUGCCUCAGAGUGGGGGAUAACGACCCGAAAAGGGUCGCUAAUACCGCAUAACAUCCUGCGCUUGGAUGCGUGGAGAUCAAAGCCGGGGAUUCGCAAGAACCUGGCGCUUGGAGAGGGGCCCGCGGCCGAUUAGCUAGUUGGUGAGGUAACGGCCCACCAAGGCGACGAUCGGUA